GAUGAACGCUGGCGGCGUGCCUAAUACAUGCAAGUCGAGCGAACAGAUAAGGAGCUUGCUCCUUUGACGUUAGCGGCGGACGGGUGAGUAACACGUGGGUAACCUACCUAUAAGACUGGGAUAACUUCGGGAAACCGGAGCUAAUACCGGAUAAUAUUUCGAACCGCAUGGUUCGAUAGUGAAAGAUGGUUUUGCUAUCACUUAUAGAUGGACCCGCGCCGUAUUAGCUAGUUGGUAAGGUAACGGCUUACCAAGGCGACGAUACGUAGCCGACCUGAGAGGGUGAUCGGCCACACUGGAACUGAGACACGGUCCAGACUCCUACGGGAGGCAGCAGUAGGGAAUCUUCCGCAAUGGGCGAAAGCCUGACGGAGCAACGCCGCGUGAGUGAUGAAGGUCUUCGGAUCGUAAAACUCUGUUAUUAGGGAAGAACAUACGUGUAAGUAACUGUGCACGUCUUGAUGGUACCUAAUCAGAAAGCCACGGCUAACUACGUG
rnacentral:rRNA from 1 species